UGUGUUUUUUUCUCCCCGUGCGGUGUUCCAUUGGACUGGAUGGCAUGGUGGUAGUAAAAUCUAUUUUUCGAGAGAGAGAGAGGGGCCGGGUUUUUGGCUUUCUAGAGAAGAGCAAGCCUCUAGUCGGUCGAUGCAAUGGCUCUUCUUUUUAAGAGCUUGUCCAGAUCCAACUUGGUUAACUUGGUUGGGUCGCUCCCCCUUGGCUUGUAAAAAAAAGAGGGUCUUGUGAGCCCCUUGGUGCUUUGGGGUAUUAUUGUUAUAGUUGGCUGAUAUUGUCAUGAUUUUGGCCGAUAACAUGCCAGCGUAGAUGUCCUUUGUCCGCUCAAGACACAUACGGGACGAGGCUGAGCUGGUCCGCAGGCGGCGGGGUGGUCUGAGAAGGGAAAAGGAGAUUAACAGGGCUACGUCCCCUUCUGCCCAUCGCUUGGGUCAUCUGUAGUAGUGGGCCUCGACGAGCGAUCGAUGUGAGUCGAGGAGGUCUAUAAUGGACCUGGCAUGGACCUAAACCUUCACGCGGUGCCCCUGUUCGUAACUGAUUAGGUCUAUAACGUCGAUGAUACCUAGGUGUUCCAAUGAUAUGAUGGGUGUAAGAUAACUCUCAACAAUGGAUCUCUAGGCUCUUGCAUCGAUGAAGAACGCAGUGAACUGCGAUAACUGGUGUGAGUUGCACGGCACCUCUAAUCUAACACCAAGCGAAUCAUCGAGUCUUUGAACGCAAACGGCACCCUUCCAGUCCAUUCCAAAGCGGUGGCGGCGGAUGAAGACAAGGGUAUCUCUGGUUGAGGGCAAUGAAAAUCGAUCCAGGCCUGAACUGGCCUUGGGGAUUGGGCUUGCUUGGGGAGUAGCGAAAAGGCGUGCUCGCUCUCUGGCUUGCCUUAAAAUCAUCGUUGUGUUGAUUGAACUUUCAAGCAUGCAUUGGGGACGCAGGCUCUGCGCUUUUUAUAAAGCAAGCAAGCCCUUGACCGUCAUCGGUGUCUUGAUUGGGGUCUCGGUCUGGCCAACAAGGCUGGGUUGAACUUUGGGGCUGCACUGGGGGCGUAUGGGCAGCUCUGUUCGUGGCGUCCGAUGACCGUCAUGGUGCAUGAAUUGGACUUCAGCCAGCCGAAAUUGUCUUUUAGUCUAUGGAGACGUAUAAAAUAUG
rnacentral:rRNA from 1 species